rnacentral:sRNA from 1 species
GCUGGGCAUGGUGGCGCAAGUCUGUAGUUCCAGCUACUUAGGAGGCUGAGGUGGGAGAAUCACUUGAGCCCAGGAGGUCAAGGCUGCAGUGAGUCAUGAUCAUGUCGCUGUACUGCAGCCUGGGCAACAGAGUGAGACCCUGCCUCAG